CGGUUAAGUUAGAAAGGGCGCACGGUGGAUGCCUUGGCACUAGGAGCCGAUGAAGGACGGGACGAACACCGAUAUGCUUCGGGGAGCUGUAAGCAAGCUUUGAUCCGGAGAUUUCCGAAUGGGGAAACCCACCACUCGUAAUGGAGUGGUAUCCAUAUCUGAAUACAUAGGAUAUGAGAAGGCAGACCCGGGGAACUGAAACAUCUAAGUACCCGGAGGAAGAGAAAGCAAAUGCGAUUCCCUGAGUAGCGGCGAGCGAAACGGGAUCAGCCCAAACCAAGAGGCUUGCCUCUUGGGGUUGUAGGACACUCUGUACGGAGUUACAAAGGAACGAGGUAGAUGAAGAGGUCUGGAAAGGCCCGCCAUAGGAGGUAACAGCCCUGUAGUCAAAACUUCGUUCUCUCCUGAGUGGAUCCUGAGUACGGCGGAACACGUGAAAUUCCGUCGGAAUCCGGGAGGACCAUCUCCCAAGGCUAAAUACUCCCUAGUGACCGAUAGUGAACCAGUACCGUGAGGGAAAGGUGAAAAGCACCCCGGAAGGGGAGUGAAAGAGAUCCUGAAACCGUGUGCCUACAAGUAGUCAGAGCCCGUUAACGGGUGAUGGCGUGCCUUUUGUAGAAUGAACCGGCGAGUUACGAUCCCGUGCAAGGUUAAGCAGAAGAUGCGGAGCCGCAGCGAAAGCGAGUCUGAAUAGGGCGAAUUGAGUACGUGGUCGUAGACCCGAAACCAGGUGAUCUACCCAUGUCCAGGGUGAAGUUCAGGUAACACUGAAUGGAGGCCCGAACCCACGCACGUUGAAAAGUGCGGGGAUGAGGUGUGGGUAGGGGUGAAAUGCCAAUCGAACCUGGAGAUAGCUGGUUCUCUCCGAAAUAGCUUUAGGGCUAGCCUCAAGGUAAGAGUCUCGGAGGUAGAGCACUGAUUGGACUAGGGGCCCCUACCGGGUUACCGAAUUCAGUCAAACUCCGAAUGCCGAUGACUUAUCCUUGGGAGUCAGACUGCGAGUGAUAAGAUCCGUAGUCGAAAGGGAAACAGCCCAGACCGCCAGCUAAGGUCCCAAAGUAUACGUUAAGUGGAAAAGGAUGUGGAGUUGCUUAGACAACCAGGAUGUUGGCUUAGAAGCAGCCACCAUUUAAAGAGUGCGUAAUAGCUCACUGGUCGAGUGACUCUGCGCCGAAAAUGUACCGGGGCUAAACGUAUCACCGAAGCUGCGGACUGUUCUUCGAACAGUGGUAGGAGAGCGUUCUAAGGGCUGUGAAGCAAGACCGGAAGGACUUGUGGAGCGCUUAGAAGUGAGAAUGCCGGUAUGAGUAGCGAAAGAGGGGUGAGAAUCCCCUCCACCGAAUGCCUAAGGUUUCCUGAGGAAGGCUCGUCCGCUCAGGGUUAGUCGGGACCUAAGCUGAGGCCGAAAGGCGUAGGCGAUGGAUAACAGGUUGAUAUUCCUGUACCACCUCCUCACCAUUUGAGCAAUGGGGGGACGCAGGAGGAUAGGGUAAGCGCGGUAUUGGAUAUCCGCGUCCAAGCAGUUAGGCUGGGAAAUAGGCAAAUCCGUUUCCCGUGAAGGCUGAGCUGUGAUGGCGAGCGAAUUAUAGUAGCGAAGUUCCUGAUUCCACACUGCCAAGAAAAGCCUCUAGCGAGGUGAGAGGUGCCCGUACCGCAAACCGACACAGGUAGGCGAGGAGAGAAUCCUAAGGUGAUCGAGAGAACUCUCGUUAAGGAACUCGGCAAAAUGACCCCGUAACUUCGGGAGAAGGGGUGCUCUGUUAGGGUGCAAGCCCGAGAGAGCCGCAGUGAAUAGGCCCAGGCGACUGUUUAGCAAAAACACAGGUCUCUGCGAAGCCGUAAGGCGAAGUAUAGGGGCUGACGCCUGCCCGGUGCUGGAAGGUUAAGAGGAGCGCUUAGCGUAAGCGAAGGUGCGAAUUGAAGCCCCAGUAAACGGCGGCCGUAACUAUAACGGUCCUAAGGUAGCGAAAUUCCUUGUCGGGUAAGUUCCGACCCGCACGAAAGGCGCAACGAUCUGGGCACUGUCUCAACGAGAGACUCGGUGAAAUUAUAGUACCUGUGAAGAUGCAGGUUACCCGCGACAGGACGGAAAGACCCCGUGGAGCUUUACUGCAGCCUGAUAUUGAAUGUUGGUACAGCUUGUACAGGAUAGGUAGGAGCCUUGGAAACCGGAGCGCCAGUUUCGGUGGAGGCAUCGGUGGGAUACUACCCUGGCUGUAUUGACCUUCUAACCCGCCGCCCUUAUCGGGCGGGGAGACAGUGUCAGGUGGGCAGUUUGACUGGGGCGGUCGCCUCCUAAAAGGUAACGGAGGCGCCCAAAGGUUCCCUCAGAAUGGUUGGAAAUCAUUCGCAGAGUGUAAAGGCACAAGGGAGCUUGACUGCGAGACCUACAAGUCGAGCAGGGACGAAAGUCGGGCUUAGUGAUCCGGUGGUUCCGCAUGGAAGGGCCAUCGCUCAACGGAUAAAAGCUACCCCGGGGAUAACAGGCUUAUCUCCCCCAAGAGUCCACAUCGACGGGGAGGUUUGGCACCUCGAUGUCGGCUCAUCGCAUCCUGGGGCUGUAGUCGGUCCCAAGGGUUGGGCUGUUCGCCCAUUAAAGCGGUACGCGAGCUGGGUUCAGAACGUCGUGAGACAGUUCGGUCCCUAUCCGUCGCGGGCGCAGGAAAUUUGAGAGGAGCUGUCCUUAGUACGAGAGGACCGGGAUGGACGCACCGCUGGUGUACCAGUUGUUCUGCCAAGGGCAUCGCUGGGUAGCUAUGUGCGGACGGGAUAAGUGCUGAAAGCAUCUAAGCAUGAAGCCCCCCUCAAGAUGAGAUUUCCCAUUCCGCAAGGAAGUAAGAUCCCUGAAAGAUGAUCAGGUUGAUAGGUCUGAGGUGGAAGUGUGGCGACACAUGGAGCUGACAGAUACUAAUCGAUCGAGGACUUAACCAAUUU
rnacentral:rRNA from 1 species